AUAAGAGGGAAGAGACCCAGACUGGAAUGUAGAGGAAACCCAGGGCAAGGAAUGGGUCCUGCUCUCCCUCUAGCCCAGAAGAAAAGGAGACAUUUUUCAAGAGAAGUUAGAAGCUAUUUGAAAAUGAAUGGAGUCCUGAGUUUUCCAACAUGGUAGAAGAAAUGUUGAUGGCAUGUCAAAGGUCCCUGAAGUCCUGUGUGUGUCUUCUAAUGUGAACAUGAAGAAUUCUGGACUAGACACUGUGGAUGCACCGAGAGAAUGAAUUGGGGAUUAUUUUAUAAACAAAAUUUCAGUAAGAAAAAGAAGCAAUCUGAAUUUUUGUUUUGAAAUCUUGCAAGUAGAUAAGGAAGAAUGAGCCAAAAUAGUCACUUUCAGCCUUUUUUCACUGAUCAAUUUAUGGUUUCAAAUAAAAAUACUCCUUUAGAUUUUUAAAUGAGAAAA
ensembl:lncRNA